rnacentral:rRNA from 1 species
CCUANGGGAGGCAGCAGUGGGGAAUAUUGCGCAAUGGGCGAAAGCCUGACGCAGCAACGCCGCGUGGGGGAUGAAGGUUCUCGGAUUGUAAACCCCUUUCGAUCGGAACGAAUCCCCUCCUGGUAAAUAAUCAGGAGGAUCGACGGUACCGGGAGAAGAAGCCACGGCUAACUCUGUGCCAGCAGCCGCGGUAAGACAGAGGUGGCGAGCGUUGUUCGGAUUUAUUGGGCGUAAAGCGAACGCAGGUGGUUUGGUAAGUCAGGGGUGAAAGACCACAGCUUAACUGUGGCACUGCCUUUGAUACUGCCUUUCUAGAGUGCAUGAGGGGGAAGCGGAAUUCCGAGUGUAGAGGUGAAAUUCGUAGAUAUUCGGAGGAACACCGGUGGCGAAGGCGGCUUCCUGGCAUGUAACUGACACUCAUGUUCGAAAGCGUGGGUAGCAAACAGGAUUAGAUACCCGANUANUC